rnacentral:rRNA from 1 species
UGCAGUCGAACGGUAACAGGCCGCAAGGUGCUGACGAGUGGCGAACGGGUGAGUAAUGCAUCGGAACGUGCCCAGUCGUGGGGGAUAACGCAGCGAAAGCUGCGCUAAUACCGCAUACGAUCUAUGGAUGAAAGCGGGGGACCGUAAGGCCUCGCGCGAUUGGAGCGGCCGAUGUCAGAUUAGGUAGUUGGUGGGGUAAAGGCUCACCAAGCCGACGAUCUGUAGCUGGUCUGAGAGGACGACCAGCCACACUGGAACUGAGACACGGUCCAGACUCCUACGGGAGGCAGCAGUGGGGAAUUUUGGACAAUGGGCGCAAGCCUGAUCCAGCAAUGCCGCGUGCAGGAAGAAGGCCUUCGGGUUGUAAACUGCUUUUGUACGGAACGAAACGACUCUGGUUAAAACCCGGGGUUAAUGACGGUACCGUAAGAAUAAGCACCGGCUAACUACGUGCCAGCAGCCGCGGUAAUACGUAGGGUGCAAGCGUUAAUCGGAAUUACUGGGCGUAAAGCGUGCGCAGGCGGUGAUGUAAGACAGUCGUGAAAUCCCCGGGCUCAACCUGGGAAUUGCGAUUGUGACUGCAUCGCUGGAGUGCGGCAGAGGGGGAUGGAAUUCCGCGUG